rnacentral:rRNA from 1 species
AUGAGUUGUAUCAGUUGGAACUACCGGGGGCUUGGGAACCUCGAGGCAGUUCGAGAGCUUCGCAGCAUCGUGAAGCUAGAAGGUCCCUCUCUUGUCUUUGUUAUGGAAACGAAGAUAAGAGGUAAAAGAGUGGAGGAUCUGCAGCAUACUCUGGGUCUUGGAGGAUGCUUUGCAGUGGAUAGUGUUGGAUUAAGUGGUGGAGUUGGCCUUUUUUGGUCUAAAGAUGUAAAAGUUGAACUUAAGAAUUAUAGCACCUCUCACAUAGAUGUUCUGGUGCAGAAUAAAGAUAUGAACUCACCGGUGUGGCGGUUCAUCGGUUUUUAUGGAGCGCCUAGAGCAACAGAUAGACACAAUAGCUGGCUCUCUAUGCGUACGUUGCACACCCUGCCGCAUCAGGCUUGGCUUUGUAUGGGAGACUUCAAUGAAACGCUUUACGCUUGUGAGCACUUCAGCAGAUCGCUUCGACCCGAGGCACAAAUGAGAGCGUUCCGAGAAGUUAUAGAUGAUAUUGCCUUCCAGGAUUUAGGUUGGUCCGGCACAGCGUAUACAUGGGACAACCAGCAAUCCGGAGAGGCUAAUGUAAAAGCAAGGCUCGAUAGAGCGUUUGCUAAUGAGGAAUUUCGGCAAAGGUUCCAACAUAUCAGAGUGCGACAUCUAAGUUCGAUCGAGUCUGAUCACUGUGUUUGUGGUUGCUGA